rnacentral:rRNA from 1 species
GACGAACUGUCCUAACGUUGUUCGGAAUUACUGGGCGUAAAGGGCUCGUAGGCGGUCUGUUGCGUCGGGAGUGAAAACUUACAGCUUAACUGUGAGCGUGCUUUCGAUACGGGCAGACUUGAGGCAUUCAGGGGAGAACGGAAUUCCUGGUGUAGCGGUGAAAUGCGCAGAUAUCAGGAGGAACACCGGUGGCGAAGGCGGUUCUCUGGGAAUGUCCUGACGCUGAGGAGCGAAAGUGUGGGGAGCGAACAGG